rnacentral:rRNA from 1 species
GCGAGUGAAGCGGGAAGAGCUCAAAUUUGAAAUCUGGUGGCCUCAGGUCAUCCGAGUUGUAAUCUAUAGAAGUGUUUUCCGUGCUGGCUCAUGUACAAGUCCCUUGGAACAGGGCGUCAUAGAGGGUGAGAAUCCCGUCCUUGACAUGAACUACCAGUGCUCUGUGAUACAUUUUCAACGAGUCGAGUUGUUUGGGAAUGCAGCUCAAAAUGGGUGGUAAAUUCCAUCUAAAGCUAAAUAUUGGCGAGAGACCGAUAGCGAACAAGUACCGUGAGGGAAAGAUGAAAAGCACUUUGGAAAGAGAGUUAAACAGUAUGUGAAAUUGUUGAAAGGGAAACGAUUGAAGUCAGUCGUGCUCUUUGGAUUCAGCCGGUUCUGCCGGUGUACUUCCUUUGAGUGGGGUCAACAUCAGUUUUGAUCGCUGGAUAAAGGCUGGAGGAACGUAGUACCCUCGGGUAAACUUAUAGCCUCCUGUCACAUACAGUGGUUGGGACUGAGGAACGCAGCACGCCUUUAUGGCCGGGAUUCGUCC